rnacentral:rRNA from 1 species
ACUGCUCAGUAACACGUGGAUAACCUACCCAAGAGUCCGGGAUAACCCCGGGAAACUGGGGAUAAUACCGGAUAAAUCACAGGUACAGGAAGGUCUUGUGGUUGAAACUUCCGGGGCCUUUGGAUGGGUCUGCGGCGGAUUAGGUUGUUGCCGGUGUAACGUACCGUCAAGCCUGUAAUCCGUACGGGUUGUGGGAGCAAGAGCCCGGAGAUGGAUUCUGAGACACGAAUCCAGGCCCUACGGGGCGCAGCAGGCGCGAAAACUCUACAAUGCAGGCAACUGCGAUAGGGGAACAUCGAGUGAUACUCAUAUUGGGUGUCUGUCCCACCGUCUAAAAAACGGUGGUUAGCAAGGGCCGGGCAAGACCGGUGCCAGCCGCCGCGGUAAUACCGGCGGCUCGAGUGGUGGCCGAUAUUAUUGAGUCUAAAGGGUCCGUAGCCGGCUUUGCAAGUCUCUCGGGAAAUCCAGCGGCUUAACCGUUGGUCGUCCGGGGGGUACUACAUUGCUUGGGACUGGGAGAGGUAGGAGGUACUCAGGGGGUAGGAGUGAAAUCCUGUAAUCCUUUGGGGACCACCGGUGGCGAAGGCGUCCUACCAGAACAGGUCCGACGGUGAGGGACGAAAGCUAGGGGCACGAACCGGAUUAGAUACCCGGGUAGUCCUAGCCGUAACGAUGCUCGCUAGGUGUCACAACAGUCGUGAACUGUUGUGGUGCCGUAGGGAAGCCGUGAAGCGAGCCACUUGGGAAGUACGACCGCAAGGUUUGAAACUUAAAGGAAUUGGCGGGGGAGCAC